CUGCAGAUAAUCAGCUAUAGCAGUGGGAAUAAACCCUUCCCUGCUGGGCAGGUAAAAGGGGAUUGCUGGCUUCCUUCCUGGAAGCAGUUGAUAAGACUGUUCUCUCCAGUGAGAAUCAAGGAGACUGAGCACUGGGAGUGCAAAAGGAAAGCAGUUAAGGCUGGCUUGGAGCACUGGGAGUGUAGAAAGGAAAGCAGUUAAGGCUGGCUUGGAGCACUGGGAGUGUAGAAAGGAAAGCAGUUAAGGCUGGCUUGGAGCACUGGGAGUGUAGAAAGGAAAGCCACAGGCUGAAUAAGCACUGGAGUGCAGAGAGCUGACAAAAACACUAGGUUGGUGAAACAAAUAUUGUUUCGUUUUAGUUUAACCCCUGAGAGAUAGGGAACCUGAUGUUAGUAAGUGCUCAGACGAGCUAGGUUUUUGUUUAUAGGGAUUUGUGUUAUAUUUAUGUUUUCAUUUGCUGCUCUCUCCUGUGUGGAUUU